GUUUUCAGUGUUUCAAUAAAUACAAUUCGUAGUACUAUUCAAAAAAGGCCGAAUGAAAUAACAGUGGUCUCUCCAAGUUAAAAAUACAUGGUGAAUUUUAAAAAUUGAAAAAUCAAAGGGAUAAAUGAUUUCUUCCACCCUUACCCAACAUCGUGUGCAUACCUGACACUCAAUCGAUUUCAACAGAACCAAAACCAUCUCCCCACUCCGCUCCUUCAAGUACAGAAUUAUUCAAGAAGCUGUCGAAAUAACGAAACGUUCAAACUGUCUGAUCACAUGGGGCAAUAGCCAGAGAUUACCCACUUGGAAACACCACCCCAAAACCCGCCAAUAGGUCCCCUAUAAUUACUAGGUCCAGGCGACUAGCCCACCAGAUAUCUCAAGACCAGCAGUGAUUGUUUUUUCAUUUCCACAGUGAAAUUCCAAAGAGUAGGCAGAUUGAGGCCUUGGAAUCAAUCAAGAAAGGGGGUGAUUCGUUGUGUGGAUGAUUCAGAUUGGGAUCACGGAAUCGGAUCACUUCUUACCAAUAAACGAAUAACCUCCCUAUCCCCACCCUUCUCUUCAUAAUUCCCUCGAAGCGGGAGCCGAAACGUCGAAAAUUUUCAAAAUUCCAACCCGAUUCAACUCGUGAACCUAAUUUCGUUCAUAAUCCUGACCGCGGAAACCUUUCAAGAACUUAUAACUUUUUUCAUUGAUUAAUUUAUUUAGAAAUAUUUCUCUUGAAUAUCUGUUUAAGUCUGGAGAUGUCUUAUUAUUUUAAUCCAACUGACUAGUUCAUCAACUCAUUAUAUAAAUAAUCAAAAUAUUAUUAAAAUUACUUUAUUGUGUUUUUUGCUCAUAUCUGUUUUAACAACUACAUCUCAUUAAAGUAAUGCCUUGUAAAAGAUGUGCACAAAAAUAUUAAAAUUGAUAAUAAUAAUAAA